rnacentral:lncRNA from 1 species
AAUGACAUCCUCUGGAGGCUAUAUUUUAAUUUUAUAAUAUUAUUUUAUUAACGGACUACUCAAGGUCUCUAAACUAGUCAAUGGACUUCCUAUAAAGUCUGAAGAGAAAGGACCAGAGAGUCCCUCCUCAGCAUACCCUAAGAGGUUUCCCAUUGGACAACAGCCUUAUAGGAAAGGAGCUCAAGAGAAUUCCUUCCAGGAAGUGACAGAUCCUGAAUUUAUGACUCCAUCUAAUUCUCACAACUGCUCUGGAAGAAAGAACCCUUUAUCAACAACUGAAAAGAUAUACCUAAGAGUCCAUAGAGAAGACACAAAGAAUCAAAAGCUUAGAGAGAACAUCAGUGAAUGAAUGGAGGAAUCUCUAGCUUCAAAUACAUCUGCAAGCUUAUGAAGACAGUAAAGGACACAUUUAGAGGAGGAUGCCAGUGUGAAGGAGUAGCUUCCAUUUCUGAAAGGACAUCUGACUCAAACAAAAUCAGUUCAAACUUUGGGUCCUGUUUUCAAUCCUGGCUUGGAUGA